rnacentral:rRNA from 1 species
UACAGAGGGUGCAAGCGUUAAUCGGAAUUACUGGGCGUAAAGCGUGCGCAGGACGGUUGCGUAAGUCAGAUGUGGAAAUCCCGGGGCUCAACCCUGGAACUGCAUUGGAUACUGCCUUGCUAGAGAGCUGGAGAGGAAACUGGAAUUUACGGUGGUAGCAGUGAAAUGCGUAGAGAUCGUAAGGAAGACCAGUGGCGAAGGCGAGUUUCUGGACAGCUACUGACGCUGAGGCACGAAGGCCGGGGAGCAAACGGG